rnacentral:rRNA from 1 species
UACGUAGGGGGCAAGCGUUGUCCGGAUUUAUUGGGCGUAAAGAGCGUGUAGGCGGCCUGAAAGGUCAGCUGUGAAAACUCGAGGCUCAACCUCGAGACGUCGGUUGAAACCAUCUGGCUAGAGUCCGGAAGAGGAGUGUGGAAUUCCCGGUGUAGCGGUGAAAUGCGCAGAUAUCGGGAGGAACACCGAUGGCGAAGGCAGGUCUCUGGGCAUUAACUGACGCUGAGGAGCGAAAGCAUGGGGAGCGAACAGG